AGCGUCAAAAAAUGAAAUUGAAAAAGCCGAGUCUUUUUGUUCGUCUUCAAAACUUGGGAAAAAUACUUUGGACCUAGUUUUAGACUGAAGUCUGUGACAUGAGAUGAUACAAUUUGAAAAAAUGGUAUUUCCUACUUAACAUCACAGG